UAGAGUCAUUGAAUUACAAAUCGAACUUGAGAUCUGACUCGACUCGAUUCAGAGUCGGGUAGAGUCAACAAAUCGAAUACGCUAUUUGAAGCAAAAUAGUAAACAUUUGUUGUGUGUGCAAAGUAACAAAAUCAUGGAAGUCAGAUAUUAUUUUGCAUAGUUUGCCAAAGGAUCCAGACAUAAGAGAAAAAUGGUUAAAAAUAUUAAAGAAAAUUAAUACUAAAGAAAAAUAUUCUACAUCUCUUUCCGUUUGCAAUAAACAUUUUAAACCUGAAGAUUAUCGUAAAUUAUGUGACAGGCCAAUUUUAAAGAAAGGGGCUAUUCCGCAAUUAAAUAUUGAAUUGGACACACGUAUAAAAUCCAAUGAAAAUAAUCCAAUAAAUUUCCAAGAUUCUUCUCAUAAAGAGACAGUAGAAAAUAUUAAUGAUGGUAUUGAUAAUAGUCAGAUUGCAAGUGUAUCAAGAGCUGAUAAUGAAGCUACAACUAUGAAAUGUUUGAAAAGGAAAAAUGACUUCAAUUAUGAUGAAUCCAGUGUUCAAAAAAAAUACGCUGUUACUUAAAGAAUUUUGGUAUUUUUAGAAGAGAAGAUUUUACAAAUGAAAUCGCGUGGAAUCGAUUUUUGAUUGCAUUCAAUGGAAUGAAAAAAGAAAAUCUAUUAUUAGGACAAAAGAAUGAACGCCUGCUUAUGGAAGUUUAAAAGUUCCAAGACAUCAUUUUUAAUUUAAAGAAAAAAAAAGUUGUUGAUGGAUUCAGUUUCCAAUAUAUUGAUUGUAAGUAAAAAAAAACAACAAGAAGUUGACUGAUAAUUUUAGGCACUGUAGAGUUAUACUCUUGAGAUACUAUUCACUCUUAAAAUUUAUAGCAAUAUUUAUAGUACGUUUUUUACAUUUAAAAAAGACAAUUUUAAAUGUCUUAAGUCAUUGUCAUCAUCAUCUUUGUCUGAAGAUACUAAUGGCUUUUUGAUUGAUCAUGGGUCUGUUUGUUUUAGCUGAACUGGCUGCACUAGUUCAAAGUUUAUCUUUUUCUUUCCAAUAUGGAAGAAAAAGGUAAAUUCUGAAUUAGUGCAGCCAGUUCAGCUAAAACGAACAGACCCCAUGACAUCUUAAGAUAAUACUUAAAAUGAUUUUAAAUAUAAUAACAGACUGUGACUAAAUAUAAAAGGACAAGAAUUGUAAAUAAUUUAGAUACAUGUAUACAAUUUAUAUAUAUUGAUAAACUACAUACGUACAUAUACAUUUUGUACAUAUAUUUAUUUUAAUUCAAUAUUUACUUUUAUUUGUAGUUAUUUGUAGUUUUCCAAAUAAUCAUCAAAUUAAUUUUUUUCAUUUAUAUAUAUUUACACAGUAUACACGAAUAUUCUAAGGAAUUAUUAAUAUUUACCAUAAAAUUUUAAUAUCUAAUAUAUACGCAUAUACGCAUACGAAUAUGUAAGAAAAACAUUUAUGAGUGUUUUAUGCCACCAAAGAACAAUCAGAAAGUGGUUAAAUUCUGCUAAUAAUGGACCAGAAAUUUCUAUUGCUGCAUUGAAGCAAUAGAAAUUUCUGGUCCAUUAAUGCGGUCGGCGAAUAAAAAGAAUAAAAAGAACAUGUUUUCUGUAAAGGAAAAAAGAUCAAAAACAUUUAAAUUUUUAUAAUUUGUUUAUUACUGUAUAAUUAAAAGAUAGAAUAUAUAUAUAUAUAUAUAUAUAUUAGAUAUUAAAAUUUUAUGGUAAAUAUUAAUAAUUCCUUAGAAUAUUCGUGUAUACUGUGUAAAUAUAUAUAAAUGAAAAAAUUAAUUUGAUGAUUAUUUGGAAAACUGCAAAUAAUUAUAAAUAAAAGUAAAUAUUGAAUUAAAAUAAAUAUAUGUAUAAAAUGUAUAUGUCAGAUUUAUGUCAAAAAGCUGAAACUGAUAAUAAGAAAUUAUAUUAAUAUUUUUUAUUAACGCGUGAUGAAAUGGCAAUUAGAAAACGUGGAAUUUGAUGGAAAGCAAUGACACGGAUUUAUUGAUGUUGGAAACAAGAUUGAUGAUGACAAUCAUAUUAAAAAUGAUAUUGAAGCAACUAAUGUUUUUGUUUUUAUGCUAGUAGACAUUAAUAUAUAUUUCAAAAUUGUUA